rnacentral:tRNA from 1 species
GGUUCCAUAGUGUAGCAGUUAGCAUGUCUGCUUUACACGCAGAAGGUCCUGGGUUCGUGCCCCAGUGGAGCCA